CGAACGCUGGCGGCGUGCUUAACACAUGCAAGUCAAGGGGAAAGUUCUCUUCGGAGAAUGAGUAUACUGGCGCACGGGUGAGUAAUAUGUAAGUAAUCUACCUAUGGGAUUAGAAUAACCUCGAGAAAUCGGGGCUAAUACUGAAUAACGCAGCAACACCGCAUGGUGAUGUUGUUAAAGUGAUUUAUCACACCUGUAGAUGAGCUUAUACUCGAUUAGUUUGUUGGUAAGGUAACGGCUUACCAAGACUACGAUCGAUAGCUGGUCUGAGAGGAUGAUCAGCCACACUGGAACUGAGACACGGUCCAGACUCCUACGGGAGGCAGCAGUGAGGAAUAUUGGGCAAUGGGCGAAAGCCUGACCCAGCAACGCCGCGUGGAGGAUGAAGGUCGUAAGAUCGUAAACUCCUUUUUUUGGGGAAGAAAAAAUAGGUUUAUAGCCUAUAUUGACUGUACCCAUAGAAUAAGCCCCGGCUAACUAC
rnacentral:rRNA from 1 species